GAGGUCAGGGUUCAGAGGUGACAGAGAGGAGGAGGAGGUCAGGGUUCAGAGGUGACAGAGAGGAGGAGGUCAGGGUUCAGAGGUGACAGAGAGGAGGAGGUCAGGGUUCAGAGGUGACAGGAGAUCAGGGGGGUCAUUCAGAAUGGAUUCAGACCCCUUACCUUUUUCCACUUGUUGCCUUAUUCCAAAAUGGAU